ACUAGCUCAAUUGGUCCAAGCGCGGGACUGUUAAUCCCCAGAUCGUUGGUUUGAUU
rnacentral:tRNA from 1 species